UGCGUAGGUGGUUUGAUAAGUUGGGUGUGAAAGUCCUGAGCUUAACUUGGGGAUUGCGCUUAAUACUGUUGAGCUAGAGUACUGUAGAGGAAGGUGGAAUUUCCAGUGUAGCGGUGAAAUGCGUAGAUAUUGGAAGGAACAUCAGUGGCGAAGGCGACUUUCUGGACAGAUACUGACACUGAGGCACGAAAAGCAUGGGGAGGCAAACAA
rnacentral:rRNA from 1 species